UCAAGACAUACCAUGACACAGAUCAAUAUUUUCUGUAUGCUAAUUGUUAUUCUUUCUAGGUUGUUUUGUACAUUCUUUCUGUCUCCUCUACCCUCGUAUGAUUCAAGAUAUGUGUAGAAUUUCACACGUGUUGUGCAACUGAAGUCCAAGUUUAUGCCAGAACUUGACAUCAUCUGCUCCAGGCUGUUUGCUGAGUGCCAUAGGAAGGGAGGAGAAACAGGACAUAAGAUUAAGGAGAUCAUGGCUGCCAUUGAUUGGAAUCCUAUCAUUGGCUCGUUGAGAGUUUGCCACCUGAAAGCACUUGUUGUGUACUUGAAGACCCCGAUAAACUCAUAAAGGAAUACCUGAGCUGCCAGAUGGUGUCAUCACUGAAAGCAGUCAUAAACAACAUGGCAGAUUCGUCUAUUUCCUCCAGCCAAAGCGACUCACCAUGCACUACCAGUGACACUGGCAGUGAAGACAUGGUAUUAUGACUGAAGGACCUUAAACCAAUCCCUCAUUAGCAUUGGUAUUAGAUUAACAAGAAAUGUUAUUUAUUUUAGCUUUUGUUUAUACUUCAUUUUACUUCAUGUGGCUGAAUUGCCAGCUGGAAACCAGUAUUUUUGAUAAUGUAUUUGUUUGCCCUUUUUUUUCCAUUUAA